CAUUACAAUAGUCCCAUUAUUAUAAGGUCAAAUCCUUAAAUAAGGAUGGCAGAUCAAAUUUGGUUCAUUUGUUCUGUAAUCAUACAGAUGUGACAUCAGGUCAUGUGACUGGAUCUGAUGUCAAAUUCAUUAUAAUGUGGCUCAGAGAGGAGGGACUCAGUGUGUUAAUUUGAUUUUGUAUCUGACAGAGACUGCGGUUGAAUCGAUUCAGCUUGAAUCUUGAACACAUGUACAAUGGAUCUUCAUUCAGUCAUUGUGUUCUGUGCCUUAGCUGCUGCUGUCUUUGGGAAUGUCAUUAAACCAAACAAAACAGAUGUUUUUGCUGAGGAAGGUUCAAAUGUUACAUUAUCCUGUAGUUUCACUGCAUCUGUAAAUUCAGAUAAUCUCCACUGGUACCGUCAGUAUGGAAGAUCAAAACCUGAAUUUAUUGUACUCAUCUACAGCAAAGCAAAAAUAGCUGAGGUGUCUAAGAUAGAUUCAAGGUUCUCUGUUAACGUUCCAAAAAGUGAACGUGUGGAUCUGGAGAUCUCCUCUGCUGCUGUAUCUGACUCUGCUCUGUACUACUGUGCUCUGCAGCACACAGUGGCAGGAAACACAUCAGCUCUCUACAAAAACCUGUUACAAUGA